rnacentral:rRNA from 1 species
AGAGUUUGAUCAUGGCUCAGGAUGAACGCUGGCGGCGUGCCUAAUACAUGCAAGUCGAACGGAAACAUAGUAGCAAUACUUUGUUUUAGUGGCGAACGGGUGAGUAACGCGUUGGUGACCUGCCUCGAAGCGGGGGAUAACAGUCCGAAAGGAUUGCUAAUACCCCAUGUGGCCAUAAGGGUUAGAGGCCUUAUGACUAAAGGAGUAAUUCACUUCGAGAGGGGCCUGCGUCCCAUCAGCUAGUUGGUAGGGUAAUGGCCUACCAAGGCUUAGACGGGUAGGGGACCUGAGAGGGUGACCCCCCACACUGGAGCUGAAAACGGUCCAGACACCUACGGGUGGCAGCAGUAGGGAAUAUUGCCCAAUGGACGAAAGUCUGAGGCAGCAACGCCGCGUGUGCGAUGAAGGCCUUCGGGUUGUAAACCACUGUCGGGAGGGACGAAGAUCUGACGGUACCUCCAAAGAG